UACGAAGGGUGCAAGCGUUACUCGGAAUUACUGGGCGUAAAGCGUGCGUAGGUGGUUUGUUAAGUCUGUUGUGAAAGCCCCGGGCUCAACCUGGGAAUGGCAAUGGAUACUGGCAGGCUAGAGUGCGGUAGAGGGUAGUGGAAUUCCCGGUGUAGCGGUGAAAUGCGUAGAGAUCGGGAGGAACACCUGUGGCGAAAGCGGCGCACUGGACCACAUCUGACGCUGAGGCGCGAAAGCGUGGGGAGCAAACAGG
rnacentral:rRNA from 1 species